rnacentral:rRNA from 1 species
GAUGAACGCUGGCGGCGUGCCUAAUACAUGCAAGUCGAGCGAACGGACGAGAAGCUUGCUUCUCUGAUGUUAGCGGCGGACGGGUGAGUAACACGUGGAUAACCUACCUAUAAGACUGGGAUAACUUCGGGAAACCGGAGCUAAUACCGGAUAAUAUUUUGAACCGCAUGGUUCAAAGGUGAAAGACGGUCUUGCUGUCACUUAUAGAUGGAUCCGCGCUGCAUUAGCUAGUUGGUAAGGUAACGGCUUACCAAGGCAACGAUGCAUAGCCGACCUGAGAGGGUGAUCGGCCACACUGGAACUGAGACACGGUCCAGACUCCUACGGGAGGCAGCAGUAGGGAAUCUUCCGCAAUGGGCGAAAGCCUGACGGAGCAACGCCGCGUGAGUGAUGAAGGUCUUCGGAUCGUAAAACUCUGUUAUUAGGGAAGAACAUAUGUGUAAGUAACUGUGCACAUCUUGACGGUACCUAAUCAGAAAGCCACGGCUAACUACGUGCCAGCAGCCGCGGUAAUACGUAGGUGGCAAGCGUUAUCCGGAAUUAUUGGGCGUAGAGCGCGCGUAGGCGGUUUUUUAAGUCUGAUGUGAAAGCCCACGGCUCAACCGUGGAGGGUCAUUGGAAACUGGAAAACUUGAGUGCAGAAGAGGAAAGUGGAAUUCCAUGUGUAGCGGUGAAAUGCGCAGAGAUAUGGAGGAACACCAGUGGCGAAGGCGACUUUCUGGUCUGUAACUGACGCUGAUGUGCGAAAGCGUGGGGAUCAAACAGGAUUAGAUACCCUGGUAGUCCACGCCGUAAACGAUGAGUGCUAAGUGUUAGGGGGUUUCCGCCCCUUAGUGCUGCAGCUAACGCAUUAAGCACUCCGCCUGGGGGGUACGACCGCAAGGUUGAAACUCAAAGGAAUUGACGGGGACCCGCACAAGCGGUGGAGCAUGUGGUUUAAUUCGAAGCAACGCGAAGAACCUUACCAAAUCUUGACAUCCUUUGACAACUCUAGAGAUAGAGCCUUCCCCUUCGGGGGACAAAGUGACAGGUGGUGCAUGGUUGUCGUCAGCUCGUGUCGUGAGAUGUUGGGUUAAGUCCCGCAACGAGCGCAACCCUUAAGCUUAGUUGCCAUCAUUGAGUUGGGCACUCUAAGUUGACUGCCGGUGACAAACCGGAGGAAGGUGGGGAUGACGUCAAAUCAUCAUGCCCCUUAUGAUUUGGGCUACACACGUGCUACAAUGGACAAUACAAAGGGCAGCGAAACCGCGAGGUCAAGCAAAUCCCAUAAAGUUGUUCUCAGUUCGGAUUGUAGUCUGCAACUCGACUACAUGAAGCUGGAAUCGCUAGUAAUCGUAGAUCAGCAUGCUACGGUGAAUACGUUCCCGGGUCU